GAGUUUGAUCGUGGCUCAGAACGAACGCUGGCGGCGUGGAUAAGACAUGCAAGUCGAACGGGAGAAUUGCUAGCUUGCUAAUAAUUCUCUAGCGGCGCACGGGUGAGUAACACGUGAGUAACCUGCCCCCGAGAGCGGGAUAGCCCUGGGAAACUAGGGAUUAAUACCGCAUAGUAUCGAAAGAUUAAAGCAGCAAUGCGCUUGGGGAUGGGCUCGCGGCCUAUUAGUUAGUUGGUGAGGUAACGGCUCACCAAGGCGAUGACGGGUAGCCGGUCUGAGAGGAUGUCCGGCCACACUGGAACUGAGACACGGUCCAGACACCUACGGGUGGCAGCAGUCGAGAAUCAUUCACAAUGGGGGAAACCCUGAUGGUGCGACGCCGCGUGGGGGAAUGAAGGUCUUCGGAUUGUAAACCCCUGUCAUGUGGGAGCAAAUUAAAAAGAUAGUACCACAAGAGGAAGAGACGGCUAACUCUGUGCCAGCCGCCGCGGUAAU
rnacentral:rRNA from 1 species